GGUCUGUUAGCUCAGUUGGUUAGAGCGUCGUACUAAUACAGUGUCUCACUGUAUCAAGUAAUGCGAAGGUCAUGAGUUCGACCCUCAUACGGACCA
rnacentral:tRNA from 1 species